UACGUAGGGUGCGAGCGUUGCCCGGAAUUAUUGGGCGUAAAGAGCUCGUAGGCGGUGUGUCGCGUCGGCCGUGAAAACCUGCAGCUUAACUGUGGGCUUGCGGUCGAUACGGGCAUCACUGGAGUUCGGCAGGGGAGACUGGAAUUCCUGGUGUAGCGGUGAAAUGCGCAGAUAUCAGGAGGAACACCGGUGGCGAAGGCGGGUCUCUGGGCCGAUACUGACGCUGAGGAGCGAAAGCGUGGGGAGCGAACAGG
rnacentral:rRNA from 1 species